AGCGAUCUCUGAUCCAUUCUUAGGAGGACUCCCGAAGCGAUGCCACAUGGAGGAAGACGGUGGUCUCAUGACAGCUCCGUGCCCCAGAACAUGCAGCAUCAAAAGCCAGCUGGGAAGACUUCUGGGACAAGACAGACGUCGUCAGCCCCAGUCCAGGGUGCGAGAGCCAGCUAUGCACUUCCUCCUCUCUGCACGUUGUGUCGGACCCUAACACUCCUGCCCAUCCCACUCAGGAGGAUAUCACUGUGGAGGUGACACCGACCUGCUCGAAAGGAAGUGGUGCCCCGACAGCUCUAAAGCCGAGAGAAUCACACCUUGCCUAGAAGACUGUUUGGACCUCUAGCCAAUUCUAUGUGGCGGCCAGGGUGUCAGCCCUCAGAAGACCACGUUACCUGCUUCCUGACCACAGAAUGCGGGAUUUAUUCACAAACUCUGACCUGAUGCACUGACCUCGGGAUGCAAACCAUUGCUGGAGGCAUUUUCAGGAGACGACCAUCAGGAAAGC